GCGCAUGAAACAUAUCCCCGAAUUAUUUUAGGCCCGUUAUACAAAAGGAUAAGAGGAGGGGAUCUCUAAAAAUAAAGGUAAGUAUCUGACUCUUCAUUACAAACCACCUUGGUGAAAAUAAUUUUAUACAUGGGAAUUUACCACACACACAUACCCCAAAAUUUUCAAGAUUGCCAAUGUUUUUUCCUCAGAACUUCUGACAGAGGCUCUUCACUGUCAGAGGGGAUUUUGUUACAUUGAGGCCCAAAACCUGCACAGGGGUUACGUCUCUGGGGUCAGA